GCCACCGAAGAGUCUCCAUAAUUUCACGCUCUCGAACUUGAGGUGGGGGAGCCAGCAGACACUUCAAGUGCAUGAAGAUCGAUGAUUCCAUGAGUUCCAGCUAUCAUCGACUACGACGGUGAUCUUCGUCUUUGCGAUUCGCGGCUCCUCUGUUUCGGUUCGGCGAGUCUGAGCAUCAAAGCAAGAUCAACAAACAAGAUCGUCGACGUCUCCACUACAUCAUCAUAUUCGGCUGCACUAGGUUCAGUCCUUCCCGAAACACCGCCUUUUAUCCCGCGGUUUAUAUCCUUUUCACCUUGCUAUCAGAUUGUCUGCUCAAAUAUAUUACUAAUCUAAGAUCCACAUUCUUUUUGGCUCCUUUAUACUGCUCAGUGAUCCUUUUUCUAGCUGAUUAAGAGGAACUCACCACUUUGGAUCGAGAAAGAUGAAAAUGAUGACGGCAAAAUUUAAUUGAUUCCACUUUGAAUUCGAGCAAGUUGUUUCCUUUCCCGAGUUUUUUUCUUGGGUUUCCACUCAAACUAUGCUAAUAAAAUUUAAUCAGCACAAGAACAGAUUGAAUCAUCAAAAGCUUGAGAAUUGUGAACCAGAAAGGAAAGCAGCCGACUUUAGGUUGAGUACUCGGCCUUUCCUCAGUCUUGUGGAGAAGAAAUGGUUGGCGUUUCAGUUACUUCUUGCUGUGAAGCAGUGCCAUGAGAAGGAUAUAUGUCAUGGUGAUAUCAAGUGCGAGAACGUCUUGGUCACUUCCGGGAACUGGCUUUCCUUCUUUUAUGAUACAAGGGAACGAAGGCUUUGUUAUCUGGCUCAAGAGGUACUAUAGAACCAUUAUCAAAAUUAUUCCUUUUAUUUGUCGUAUCGUUCUAUUUCACCUCUGCUUAGAAUAUUAUUAUGCUGUAUUUAUUUCUCUUUUAAUAAGCCCUUUGUCCAUGGUACAUUUCGGAAGUUGCCGUUACUGGAGUCAGAUUAAUGAUCGAAGCGGAAUACUCAUGGGGUUGAUAUGAUCCCUGCUUAAUAGAAAGGUAUUUGAUCUUACAUAACUGAAAGCCCAUGAAUUUGGACUUUACGGUUUGACGUGUUUGCAGAAAAACUAGAUGAAUGUGCCAGAGAGUUCAAAGAAAGGACGCAUAUCAUGGUGGCAGGUGGUGAUGAUACAAUUGGUUCGGUUGUCUCGAUACAACUUGGCUAUGUACGCUCUAAAAAUUCUUCAAUCCAAAUUGUAACAAGAAACAUCAGGAUUCUACAAGAGACGAGCCAGGUUUUGAUUCGUCUACACUGUCGAUAUGUAGCUUUCGUUUCUCUGAUUGACGUAGUUUUUAAUAUCUCCAUUUGUUUAUGAUGCAGUAAUUUUUUUCGUUGGUAGCUUCUUUCUUUGCUGCAGUGUAUGUAACAAAAUCGAAAGAGUUCUUUCCCCAAACAAAAUUAGAAUUCAGCUCAAAAGUUGUAAUGUGUGCAUGUGCUAAGAAUGUAUAUCGCAUGGAGACAACAGGUCUGUAAGACAUUCUGACCUCAGGUGAUGAUGAGGAUAGGUGACAGGUGGUUUCAGUGGCAAUGAUAUGAGGAUAGGUGGCAGGUGGUGAUGGUAUAGUUGGUUUGGUUCUUGGUUGUCUCGAUGAGAGACACAGAGAAUGGCAUGAUGCUUUUGAUAUACACAACUUUGCUAUGUAAUCUCUACAAAUUCUUCAAUCCAAGUUAUAAUAAAAAUAUAUGUUUGAUACAUGGAUAAUAAUUUGAUCAUUAAAUGAGAAAACAUGAUGUUCAACCAAAAAAAGAAAAAGCAAACAUAAGAAAGUAUAGCUAUAACAAACAAUACUAACUUUUAUAUUGUGUAUCUAAUUAAAACAUUUACUCUAUUACAUUGAGUUAAUUAUUUCUUCUUUCACAAUAUCUAAAUCAAAAUUUAGGGGGAAAAGUAUAACAGAAUCAGAGUACCAAUUUUUUCAAAAACAAAUGUAUAAGAGUACAAAAAUAAAUCAUGAUUUUUUUGCAGUUUAAGUGUGUAUAAUUAUUUGCUUGAUGACAUAUUCUUUGAUUGUUUAGAGCAUUUCCAACCCC